GUGUCAGCAGCCGCGGUAAUACGGGGGGGGCGAGCGUUGUCCGGAAUCAUUGGGCGUAAAGGGCGCGUAGGCGGAAUAGUAAGUUGGAGGUGAAAAUUCUGAGCUUAACUCAGGACCUGCCUUUGAUACUGCUAUUCUGGAGUACGGUAGAGGAAAGUGGAAUUCCCGGUGUAGCGGUGAAAUGCGUAGAUAUCGGGAAGAACACCGGUAGCGAAGGCGGCUUUCUGGGCCGUAACUGACGCUGAGGCGCGAAAGCGUGGGGAGCAAACAGGAUUAGAAACCCCCGUAGUCC
rnacentral:rRNA from 1 species